UUAUUUUGUUAAUGUCAAGGCGCUAUGCCGUAUUGGUCCAUGUUACUUGCUAUAUUAAACUUACCCCCUGCUUCUCGACUCCCAGCAUCUGGGUUACAGAAUACUGCCUCACAAAAUGGAAGCAGCAGACGGUCGACGAGCAGGGAUACCUGCUUUGUCAACACCACGACCAGCUGGCACAACUGGGGACGGCUAUGGAAGAGGCUCUUCGCAGUGUUCAACGUCUCAAACAUAUCUGAGAGGUGUUGCCUUCAACUAGUGGAGGAUACUCUACAACCAGUCAAGCCAGCAAACCAGCCUAUUCAGCAAACUGCGCAGGUCAGUGACGUCCCUCCCGGAUAAAUAUGACAACACCCCGUUUAAAUGCUGUGGCUUCUGACUACAGUACUCCCUCCACUUUUCGCACCAGAUGGGAGCUCCUACCACCGAGAGGUUCAAGGUUGCCACGGUUAUUUUUCUGCUGACUGGGUGGGCAUUGCAAUGGGCCAUAGAUGUCUGGGGUAGAGGAGCUGGAUUCGUAUGAGGGGUUCAAGGCUCGGUUCAGAGGUAUCUUCGAUCAUCCACCGAAGGGCAGAGUUAGUGCAGACAAGUACGGAGGACCAGACGGCUGCCGAGCAUGCGCUCACCUUCUGGACAGUAGCAGCAUCCAGCGGCUGGACUGUGCGAGGAGUUUCAGACGGAACUGGCCUGCCGAGAUGACAACCUCUGCUUGAAAGCACUCAUUGCGUGGCCAUCCAUUUGGAUAACCUUCUUCGGGAGCAUCGGCUCUCUCCCUCCCUCAGUGAACACUUUGGAUCAGAGCCUGAACCCAUGGAGGUAGGGGCCACUUGCCUCCCAGCGGCGGAGCAAUGCAGACGGCGAUAGCUGGGGCUCUGUCUAUUGUGGUCAACGAGGGCUUCUGCAGUGUCCGAUACGGCCCAACUCGGGAUCCACAAGAGUAGAGGGAUGGUCACGUGAUCUCUAUCCUCCUGGGGCAGGUAUAGUGGAUUCCUGUGCUGUGGGGAACUUUAUUGACCAGACCCUUGCCACCUCAACGUCACCUCAUACCCGCUCUCCUCUCCUUUCCUGGUUCAAGCCCUUGAUAAUCAGCAAUUAGGUUCCGGGACCAUCAGACACAUCAAACCACUCACUGCGCCCCCACGCAAAUGUAUCGACCCUCUGUCGGUGGCUGAAAACCAGGCCAUGGAUGAGUACAUCCAUGAGGCGCUCCAACUAGGUUUCAUCCGCACGUCCACUUCUCCUGCGUCGGCAGGAUAAUUCUUCGUGGCCAAGGAUGGAGGGUUACGCCCAUGUAUUGAUUAGAGGACUCGAUGAAAUCCCCACCAACUACCGUUACCCUCUCCCAUUGGUGCUGGCAGCCAUCAAAGAGCUCCGCGGGGCCCAUUUUUAUUUUUUAUAUAUUUUUUWAAACCAAAAACGACCUGCGGAGUACAUACAAUCUCAUCUGCAUCUGGGAGGGGGAUGACUGGAAGACAGUUUUUAGCACAGUUUCUGGUCACUACGAGUGUUCCAGGCAUUAGUCAACGAGGUGUUUCGGGACAUGCUCUGACGCCAGGUAGUCGCGUAUAUCGACAACAUCCUGAUUUACUCGGCUACCUUGGAGGAUCACAUUGCGUGGAUGAAAAAUGAAGACCCUGAUGCGAGACCUACAGUGGAGGGAGACCCUGAAUCAUCCCUCCUUCUGGAAACCACAGAGGAGAGUUGGGAAUGAGAGGUCGGUAAGUGUCGUGAUGCUGACCAAGAGCUUCUAGAAGUGCUAUGGAGAGAACCUGUCAGUGGAGAUCCAAGCUGCCCUCUGAAUUGAUGAAAAAGAUGGAUGGCAYAKAGCCCUACCCUGAGAACAUGUUGGGGUUACUACGUUUCAUACGCAACCUCCAUGAGCACUAUGCUGAGGAUUUAGAAUCGGUUGACCUAAUGAAGAUGUUCCCUGAUCUCUUUGGAUGCGUCUAGAUGUUGGCCAAGGAACGGGGCUGGAAUUCAAGGCCUGGUCCGAAAAACGUGUUUCAGAAAGAUCUAAGCUCAUGAUUCUGAAACGUAAACUGUCGUAUGACUUAUUGUAAUAAUGUAAUACUGUAAUACUUUUGUAGCUAGACAGUGAUCUUAACUGUCUCAAGAACAUUUCAUAUUCUAUAUUUUCACUGAUCUAAUAUCCAUAUGAUUUUAACAAAUCUUACAUGGUUAUAUCCUACAUAUUAUGGGAGUUCAUAUGAAAAUACAGUACUCAAAGCUUUGAUAAAGGUAGUGAUAACUUUUUUACUGUCUUCAGUUAAGGUAUACAGGAUUUGUAAUAUGAAUAAUCUGUAUGAGAUUUAUCAAGGAUGUCUGAAUCAAAGUAUUAACAUCCUAUUUA